rnacentral:rRNA from 1 species
UACGUAGGGUGCGAGCGUUGUCCGGAAUUAUUGGGCGUAAAGGGCUCGUAGGCGGUUUGUCGCGUCGGGAGUGAAAACCUCGGGCUUAACUCGGGGCUUGCUUUCGAUACGGGCAGACUGGAGGUAUGCAGGGGAGAACGGAAUUCCUGGUGUAGCGGUGAAAUGCGCAGAGUAUCAGGAGGAACACCGGUGGCGAAGGCGGUUCUCUGGGCAUGACCUGACGCUGAGGAGCGAAAGUGUGGGGAGCGAACAGG